CCCUUAGAUGUUCUGGGCCGCACGCGUGCUACACUGAGUGGAUCAGCGGGUCAGGUUGCGCGAAAGUGUUUCCUAAUCUUGAAAUCCGCUCGUGAUGGGGAUUGACGGUUGCAAUUUUCCGUCAUGAACGAGGAAUACCUUGUAAGCGCGGGUCAUCAUCCCGCGCUGAAUACGUCCCUGCCCUUUGUACACACCGCCCGUCGCUCCUACCGAUUGAGUGGUCCGGUGAGGCUUUGGGAUCUGAGCAAAAGAGCGUUUCGCUCGUUUGGCUCGGAAAACUCAGUCGAACCUUAUCAUUUAGAGGAAGGAGAAGUCGUAACA
rnacentral:rRNA from 1 species